CCGGUUGAUCCCGCCAGAGGUUACUGCUAUCGGAGUUCGAUUAAGCCAUGCGAGUCUAAAGGUUUCUUCGGAAACCUUGGCGGACUGCUCAGUAACACGUGGAUAACCUACCCUUGGGACUGGAAUAACCCCGGGAAACUGGGGAUAAUACCGGAUAGAUCAGGGAUGCUGGAAUGCGCCUUGAUCCAAAGCUCCGGCGCCCAAGGAUGGGUCUGCGGCCUAUCAGGUUGUAGUGGGUGUAACGUACCUACUAGCCGACGACGGGUACGGGUUGUGAGAGCAAGAGCCCGGAGAUGGAUUCUGAGACACGAAUCCAGGCCCUACGGGGUGCAGCAGGCGCGAAACCUUUACAAUGUGCGAAAGCAUGAUAAGGGAACUCCGAGUGCCAGUAUCUAAUACUGGCUGUCCUUGUGCCUAAAACGCACAAGAUAGCAAGGGCCGGGUAAGACCGGUGCCAGCCGCCGCGGUAACACCGGCGGCCCGAGUGGUAGCCGCUAUUAUUGGGUCUAAAGGGUCCGUAGCCGGUUCGAUAAGUCCUCUGGGAAAUCUGGUUGCUUAACAAUCAGACUGCCAAGGGAUACUGUCGAACUUGAGACCGGGAGAGGUAAGAGGUACUUCAGGGGUAGGAGUGAAAUCUUGUAAUCCCU
rnacentral:rRNA from 1 species